UACGUAGGGGGCUAGCGUUGUCCGGAUUUAUUGGGCGUAAAGAGCGUGUAGGCGGCCAGGUAGGUCUGGUGUGAAAACUCGAGGCUUAACCUCGAGAUGUCAUCGGAAACCAUUUGGCUAGAGUCCGGAAGAGGAGAGUGGAAUUCCUGGUGUAGCGGUGAAAUGCGCAGAUAUCAGGAAGAACACCAAUGGCGAAAGCAGCUCUCUGGGACGGUACUGACGCUGAGGCGCGAAAGCGUGGGGAGCGAACAGG
rnacentral:rRNA from 1 species